rnacentral:rRNA from 1 species
GACGAACGCUGGCGGCGUGCUUAACACAUGCAAGUCGAACGGAAAGGCCCUGCUUUUGUGGGGUGCUCGAGUGGCGAACGGGUGAGUAACACGUGAGUAACCUGCCCUUGACUUUGGGAUAACUUCAGGAAACUGGGGCUAAUACCGGAUAGGAGCUCCUGCUGCAUGGUGGGGGUUGGAAAGUUUCGACGGUUGGGGAUGGACUCGCGGCUUAUCAGCUUGUUGGUGGGGUAGUGGCUUACCAAGGCUUUGACGGGUAGCCGGCCUGAGAGGGUGACCGGCCACAUUGGGACUGAGAUACGGCCCAGACUCCUACCGGAGGCAGCAGUGGGGAAUAUUGCACAAUGGGCGGAAGCCUGAUGCAGCAACGCCGCGUGCGGGAUGACGGCCUUCGGGUUGUAAACCGCUUUCGCCUGUGACGAAGCGUGAGUGACGGUAAUGGGUAAAGAAGCACCGGCUAACUACGUG